GCGCACUGGGGGGUUACUGGUCUGAACUGGGGGGUCACUGGGAGGUCACUGCUCUGAACUGGUGCAUGCUGGGGGGGUCACUGGGAGAUCACUGGUCCAAACUGGGAGGUCACUGGUCCAAACUGGGAGGUCACUGGUCUGAACUGGUGCAUACUGGGGGGUCACUGGGAGGUCACCAGCUCAAACUGGGAAGUCACUGGUCCCAGCUGGUGCAUACUGGGGGGGGUCACUGGUCUGAACUGGUUCUAACUGGGAGGUCACUGGGAUGUCCCUGGUUCUAACUGGGAUAUCCCCGGCCCGAACUGGUUCUAACUGGGAGGUCACUGGCCCCCCCCCCCCCCCCCCCCCCCCCCCCCCCCCCCCCCCCCCCCCCCCCCCCCCCCCCCCCCCCCCCCCC
rnacentral:lncRNA from 12 species